rnacentral:misc_RNA from 1 species
CACGAUGAUGAGCGGCAACGCAGAGGUGAACGCCAAGACGCGCACGUACACCAACAGGAGAAACGCCCAUGCGCACAUAAAGGGACUGACUCUCGCAUACUGGCUAGGCCGAGUGCCGGGAGGCAUCACCGGCAUCCGUCUGCGCGCGGUGCGCGGCACAGGCGGUGCGGCACGCGCCCGCAUGCCCUCAGGUCUCCUGCUGCUCUGAUUGCCUGCGCGCCUGGAGCGCUGGUGGCGGCGGCGCACAUUCGAUGGUGCCGUCCCCCCCCCCUCCCCUACCGGCCAGCGCCGUCACCGGGCCUAAGGCACGGCGCGGUUGUCAAGCCGAUGGACAGUGCGACCUAGCCGCUGGUGACGGGCACUGGCGAAGGGGGAGCUCUGCGUGGCACCUGAGGGCAUUGUGGCGCGGGGGCCGCCGAGGAAGCUGCACCACAGCGCGAGGCUGCUGGAGCGCGUGAGCCGCGUUGCGCGCGCGCUUGUGGUGCGUUGCGUCCUCGCGACGGCCGGCGGGGGGCCCUCGCCGUGAAGCGCAAGGACGAGGAGGAGGCGGUGGUGCGCAGUGUGCCUGCGCUGGUGGUGCCGUCGCAUCCCCGCAUCGUCGCCUUCAGCGGUGGCGCUGGCGUGUGCGGCCGUUGUCUGUGCCAUCUCGCCAUGGAGGGGUGCCCACUGCGUCGCUCAGCAUGGCGACCGCUGGGCUGCGGCGCCUCGACUUGUGCAUGACUGCCGUGUUCAGCCGCGAGCAGGCGUUCGCCCACACGCAGCACACCAUCGACGCUGCUAGCCUCCACCACUUGGUCGGCAUCUCACGGCAACGACGUGGGCGAGCUGUUUGCCGCCGUGCAUCAAGGCCGCGUGUGGGCGGCAAGGUGUACGAAUGGGAAACUGUUGAAGGCAGCGCGGCAGCUGCAGGAGACGUGUGCCGGCCGCGCGCAGCUUCGUUCCGCUCCGCUGCGCAUUUCCCCGGUGCUGGUGGCGGUGGACGCGCGGGGAGAUGAGGAGGUGAUGGGGAAGGGCGGGUGGUGGAUCUGUGCGAGCGCGUGGGUGUCGGGGUGGAGGGGAGUGUGCACUGAUGGAGGGGCACCCUCACGUGCUGCGACCGGCACCCCCGCCCUCCUCGCCCCAUCGCGCGCACACCGGGGGGCGGGGUCGCUGCUGCUCACAUCCCCUGCUCUCUGGCGAUCCUCCUCAUUGUUGUGGUGCAGGGCUGCCGCGGUGCGGUGUCCGUGUGUUUUCCGUCGGUCUGCGCCCGGCGUGUCUCUCCCUGUGGUCCUGCAAUGAGCGGGAUGCGCGGUGACGGCGCGGCGCCGGUGGUGUCGGCGGAUUGUCGCGGCGGUGCCGCCUGUGAGGGCCGCGACGAUGGCGGUGUGUUUGUGUGCUGCUGUCUCCUCCCACGGUGCUGUGAUCGAUGUGUCUUCUGCUGUCGGGGCCUAGGGAGGGGGGGCGGCAGGCAGCGCCAUCUGCCCUCCCCGCUUGGUCGCCGUCUCUCGCGCCUCUGCCUCUCUCCCUCGCUGCCGUUGCGGCGCGCCGCACAUCCACCGGGCUCCCGUCCUGAUCCUUCUCGCUUGUGUGCAUGUCAUC